AAGACCAUUCCCGCGCGCGCCUGCCGAGGACCGCCGAAAAGGCCCGCGGAAGGGCGCGGCGUGCGUGGGGAGGCGGGAGGAGGACAGCAGCGUAGCGGGGUCCUGCAGCCUGCAUCCCACCCCCGCCAGCCAGCUCCCCACACCCGAGCCCACUCCAGAGAAGAAAGGACCUUUGCACCACCGGUGCCGCGCCGCCACUCACCAAAGGAAACUGAGGGCCGAACAGAGAGACCAGAAGAACGAGACUGAGGCAGGCUCGAGCCACGGUCGCACAACCCAGGACGGCAACACCGGGCACAGCACGGAGGGACUCUCUACCCACUCGUGAAGCAGCCGCGGGCGCCUCAGCAGGCGAGAGGUGAAAACACGCAACGCGCGCCGGCGGCCAUCAUAUAGAGAGCAUGCCGCCGGCUCCUAUUUAUAGCCGGUUCUGCGCCCCACGUGACCUGCCGAGCCUCGCGCCCGCCCGAGGUCCCGCCUCCGAUGUGACGCAACCACAGGCUGGUCGGGCGCGCCUAGCCGGGUGAGCUGGGCAGCGGCGCUGAUUGGCCUGGACGUCCCCGGGGCCCCGCCCCCAACGAGGAGCUGGUCCACGUGGGACUGGCUGGCCGCCUCCCUGCAGCCUCGCCCGGGUUAUCCUGUCUGCGCUGGCCACGCCGGGUGGCUGCGGGCGGGGACUGUGGGGGAGUCUCGCCCAGACACGCGGGGACUGAGGCCGCCACCAAGGUCGUUCCGAGUUUCUCCCACGCGGGCCCGGGUCAGCUCGGUGGCGACGCGGAAGAGCGGGUGUGCUGAGACUUGCCCUUGGCCGGACCCGAUCUGUACCUCGCCCGGAGAGGGUGGAGGGAUCUCACGUGGCCACCUCGCUCCCGCAGUCACGCACUUGUGUGAAAACGGAAAGAUUCGGGAGUCACGAGGAUAGGCUUGCGUUCCCAGCUGUGGCACUGCGCUGAGGGAGAGCCAUGGGUCAUUAGUUUCCCGGCGCCGGACCUCCGUUUUAGGAGCCCCGGCUAUGGCGCAGCGGGGAGGAUGUUACUUUGGAUUCGAAUUCUUAACUCAUAUUUGCUGCAGUGUGUCACCUUGAACAAACCCUAGGUCUCCUCAAGCCGAGUGCUCUGGAACGAGAAAUAAUAGCAGAGUGAGAGAGACUGGAGGACGGGUUGGAAUUGUGUGUAAAGCACAACAAAGAUGCAUUUCCUGUCAGCUCAUCGGGGCUAGUGGCGACAGGCAGUACUAAUUCAGGUAUUCUGGUUACAAGUUCUUACCCAGUAAGGAGAAUCAUAUUAGCUAAGAUAUAAGCAUGUGACUGGAACUCAAUAGAUGUUCAGGAAAUGAACCUUCAUUUCCUCGUUACUUUUUUUUUUGAAUGUGCCUGUUUUAGAAUAUAGGAAAAGGUUACAGAGGAUGUCCUCAUCCUGAAAGUUUUCCCAUCCCCUUUUGAAAUAAAGAUUGCUUCCUGGUCCCCUACAUGGUAUAAGGUUGUAGUUCUGACAAUGGAUUAGUUCGUUUUAUUGCCUAAGCUCAGAACUAACUAGUCACCACUCCUUGGGAGAUUUAAGUUAUGUGGGUUAUAAAGAAACUUAAGAAUUCCAGCCAGAAAUACCCGGUUUAGAACGCUCUAAAACGCUCUCUGCUCUCCAAAGGUAGGGCAACGAAUAGCAGAAACAAACAUGUUGUAAAUUAUAACUUCACAGGAGUGUCCUGUGACCUAUAAUUUGGUAGACUCAGAAUCUCGUAUAGGUUAUACAGGUCUAUUGACCUCAAGGUCAUGGCUGGAAAACAACCUUCAUGUUCCAGGACACUGACCCCAGUGUGUAAUUCUGGCAUCUUCAAAUGCAACACUCUUUGCCCUUACUUCUUUCCAAGGUCAUAAAACAUUGAAUAAAAGGACUGGUUUGUUAAAAGGUUGUUAGUGUCCUGCCAAUUAAAACAAUUUUUGAAGU
rnacentral:lncRNA from 1 species